rnacentral:lncRNA from 1 species
UUUUCUCCCUCUUUCCAAGACAAACUAGAUAAGAUGCAGAUUCGAUCAGGCGAAGAUGUGAAUGACCUCAACUAUGAUUAUGACAAUGAACAGUGUGUAGCACGUGGUGGAAAUUAAUAGAUGGGAUGGUGGACAGCGGAAGGGAUAAUGAUGCAGCGGCGGCGUGACUAAUGUGAACAGAACUCGAAACUCUAAAGGAACUAGACACUAAGACCAGCAACUGACACGACGAUGCAACCGAUAAUUCAACUAUGCAAGCAAUGAAUAGAAAAUUGCAAAGGCUCAGAUUGGCUUGGAUAAGGGAUGAACAGAUCUAACUUUUUUUGUGGCUUUUUCAUGGACUGUAGGUAUGAAUGACAGAUGCGAUUUAAACUAUGAAAAACUGUAAAAUCUCACCGAGCAACCUGGAAAUCUGAUACCACUUGAUAGAGGCGAGGGUCCCAAUCUUACGAUGACAUGAUAACUAUCGAUUUGGUGGAGACGACUUUGAUGAUCCGACUACAAACGUGCACGACGUUGCGCCUUAGCAAUCGCUAAACCAAUCUCCUGAGGUUACUGACGAUGCUGGAAGCACGGUCAGCCUGACCACGAAGGUCUAUUCCUGCAAGCAAUCGAAGAACGAGCAAGAAUAUGAUAAAGCAAUCUGAAUAUUGCAAAUAAAUAUGAGAUAAUGGUGGGGAUCCGAAAGCAGUCUUGGUCUGGUCGUUGGACACAAACGAAGUACACGAAGUUGCAAUGGCUAACUUUUAACUAAACAAAUCCCAAGAAAAAAGCUACUAGAUGGAUCUACUUAUAUAGGAGCAAGGGGUGGCGGCCAAGGAGGUGGGAGGACAUCCCAAGGCAGCCUAAAACUAAAUCUAGGCCGUACAAGGCCAAUGGGCCCAAGUGAAGGUGAUGUAACACCUUUAGACUUGUAGUUUGACUCGGAUUCUGCUGCAGCAUCAGAUUGUUUCGUCCACAACUCAACGCUCCGGACGAAUUUGAAGGUGAUUCCAAUUGGGUUGGAAAGUGCACGAAAUCUAGUUUCCAACAAAAAAAGAAUCACCCAAUUCGGAGUCCGUAUGAAAAACUUGUGUGCGUUUUGAGUCAGGUAUGUCUGUGAAGUCCGAAUCUGAAUCCAGAACGUGAGAGACUUGGACUCUAUCUUCUCUUGGGCCAAAAGUGACGUGAGAGAACUUUUUGGACAGCAAAUAAACAUCUCUUUCUUCCUUAUCUUCAUAUGUGGAUUGUACAAAUGUCCCAUACACCUGCAAUUAGACAAAACACAAAAGUGUGUGAAGUAUUUUUGUUCUGGAUAACAUAAAUAGAUUAUUGAAUAGUUUGCACUAGAAAUCACCUGACAAAUAUGCAUAUAUGCAAUAUUUUUGGUCAUAUCCAAGGUAGUCAUGUCCUCAUCAUCCUCCCCUUCUUGAAAAUAAAGCCGUCCUCGGCGUUGCUUAAUCUGAAAUGUGGCUAACAAAAGAGACAAGGUGUACAUGUUGUAUAUGUAUAUGUCAUCCAUUUUUACUUCCCUUGAUUUUUGCAUAUAUGACACAUGAAUAGAUGAGUAACUUGCAUAGUUCGUAAAAUUUAAAGCCAAUAAAUUAGCACAAGAAGUAGAAGGCAUGAAAAUAUUGCAACUCAGUUUGCACAUAUAAGUGAAGCUCUUAUUCAUUUCAAAAGAUUGACAAUGUUCAUCAUUAAACCAUCCCAACAUUGGUGAAUAAACCUUACUUGCAUCAAAUUUACAUGCUACAACAUGCUUAAAUAAGCAAACAUGCAAUAAGUCAUUCAACACAGAAUCAUCACCAAGAUUAGAGGUCAUAUCAAAAUGAUUAAACAUUGGUUCUUUUGCAUCAAUAGUUAAUUCAAUGGGCGCACUCAAAAUUGUUGGUAUUUCAGUUGUUUGAUCACAUGGCAAAGUCAAAUUAUCAACGUAGUCCUCUAAAAUAGGUGGUGUGAUCAAAGUAGUGGGUAGCUCAUCAGAUGGUGCAUUCAAAUUGACAAAGCAUUCAUCAUUCUCAUGUAGAGAUGGAAGAUCAGUACCUUUGUCAUUACCUCUUAUGAUCAACUCAGAUGAUGUAGCCACUCUCGGGGGCGAUGUGUCACAUGGUGGAGGUGAUGUAGUCCUGACAACAACGGAUGUGGUUGUCAUAGUAUGCCUAGUAGUUGAAGGAACAAUCAUAUCAACUCUUGGAAUGUGCACCGUGCGCUUGUUCUCCUCGUGGCCAACACGUCGUUUUAUUUCCUGUUCAGCUUUGCAAGCAAGAUGAAACAAAUGGUCCAUAGGAUAACACUCUUCAUGAAUUAGUAUCUCUUGAAUAUCACGGUUUAAUCCACCCCAAAAUCUAUCCAUAAAAUCAUCUUCACUUUCUUCUAAAGAGGAAUGCAACAAGGUAGUUUGUAAAUCAUCAUAAUAUUUUGUUACAGUUUCACUACCUUGUUUUAAGUGUUGCAACUUCUUAAUCAUGUCACGAGUAUAAUAAGCAGGGACGAAAGUAUGUCGCAUGGCAAGUUUCAAAUCAUCCCAAGUAGUAGGUAUAUAAUCAGGGUGUAACCGACAAUAUUCACUCCCCCAAACCAAAGCAUAACCAGUGAAAGAACCAACCGCAACCUUAACCUUUUUAUGUUCAUCGAAAUUAUGGGAAGCAAAUAUAUUUUUUAUGUCGAACUCCCAUUCAAUAUAUAAAGCAGGUUUAAAACGGCCAUUAAAUGGUGGUAUAGAUACAUUAACCUGAUCAUGUGCAUUUGGAUGUUUGUGCACCUCUCGUGACGGUUGUGGUAUUUGCAAAGGUGGUGGCACGUCUCCCGCGAUCGACAAAGCCCAUGAAUUGACUCUGGAUCCUGUCAUGAUUAGUAGAACAAGAAACAAAACCCAAAAAUAAUGUUCAUAUAACUACUAGGAUGUGGUGGUAAAACGCUCACAGUAAAGCAAAUAUCAAUGUCUUACAAGUUCUUACCAUGCAGCAGGCGGUGAUCGGCAACCAGCGGUGUCAAGUAACUCCGAAUAUUGAGUAAAGCGAUUGCCAGGCGGUGGACAGCGGAAGAGAUAAUGAUGCAGCGGUGGCGUGACUAAUGUGAACAGAACUCGAAACUCUAAACGAACUAGACACUAAGACCAGCAACUUACACGACGAUGCAACCGAUAAUUCAACUAUGCAAGCAAUGAAUAGAAAAUUGCAAAGGCUCAGACUGGCUUGGAUAAAGGAUGAACAGAUCUAACUUUUUUUUUGUGUGGCUUUUUCUUGGACAAUAGGUAAGAAAAUAAAUCUAAUCUAGGAAAACUGGAAAUUCUCACCGAGCAACCUGAAAACUGAUACCACUUGAUAGAGGCGGGGUGUCCCGAUCUUUCGAUGAGAUGAUAACUAUCGAUUUGGUGGAGACGACUUUGACGAUCCGACUACAAACGUGCAACGACGUUGUGCCUUAGCAAUCGCUAAACCAACUCCGAGAGGUUAUUGACCACGCCGGAACACGAUCAACCUGACCACGAAGGUCUAUUCCUGCAAGCAAUCGAAGAACAAGCAAGAAUAUGAUAAAAGCAAUCUAAAUAUCGCGAAUAUGUAUGAAGUAUUGAUAAUGGUGGGGAUCCGAAAAGUGGUCUUGGUCUGGUCGUUGGACACAAACGAAGCACACGAAGUUGCAAUGGCUAACUUUUAACUAAACAAAUCCCAAGGAAAAGCUACUAGAUGGAUCUACUUAUAUAGGAGCAAGGGGUGACGGCCAAGGAGGUGGGAGGACGUCCCAAGGCAGCCUAAAACUAAAUCUAGGUCGUACAAGGCCAAUGGGCCCAAGUGGAGGUGAUGUAACACCUUUGGACUUGUAGUUUGACUCGGAUUCUGCUGCAGCAUCAGAUUGUUUCGUCCACAACUCAACGCUCCGGACGAAUUUGAAGGUGAUUCCAAUUGGGUUGGAAAGUUCACGAAAUCUAGUUUCCAACAAAAAAAGAAUCACCCAAUUCGGAGUCCGUAUGAAAAACUUGUGUGCAUUUUGAGUCAGGUAUGUCUGUGCAGUCCGAAUCUGAAUCCAGAACAUGAGAGACUUGGACUCUAUCUUCUCUUGGGCCAAAAGUGACGUGAGAGAACUUUUUGGACAGCAAAUAAACAUCUCUUUCUUCCUUAUCUUCAUAUGUGGAUUGUACAAAUGUCCCAUACACCUGCAAUUAGACAAAACACAAAAGUGUGUGAAGUAUUUUUGUUCUGGAUAACAUAAAUAGAUUAUUGAAUAGUUUGCACUAGAAAUCACCUGACAAAUAUGCAUAUAUGCAAUAUUUUUGGUCAUAUCCAAGGUAGUCAUGUCCUCAUCAUCCUCCCCUUCUUGAAAAUAAAGCCGUCCUUGGCGUUGCUUAAUCUGAAAUGUGGCUAACAAAAGAGACAAGGUGUACAUGUUGUAUAUGUAUAUGUCAUCCAUUUUUACUUCCCUUGAUUUUUGCAUAUAUGACACAUGAAUAGAUGAGUAACUUGCAUAGUUCAUAAAAUCUAAAGCCAAAAAAUUAGCACAAGAAGUAGAAGGCAUGAAAAUAUUGCAACUCAGUUUGCACAUAUAAGUGAAGCUCUUAUUCAUUUCAAAAGAUUGACAAUGUUCACCAUUAAACCAUCCCAACACUGGUGAAUAAACCUUACUUGCAUCAAAUUUACAUGCUACAACAUGCUUAAAUAAGCAAACAUGCAAUAAGUCAUUUAACACAGAAUCAUCACCAAGAUUAGAGGUCAUAUCAAAAUGAUUAAACAUUGGUUCUUUUGCAUCAAUAGUUAAUUCAAUGGGUGCACUCAAAAUUGUUGGUAUUUCAGUUGUUUGAUCACAUGGCAAAGUCAAAUUAUCAACGUAGUCCUCUAAAAUAGGUGGUGUGAUCAAAGUAGUGGGUAGCUCAUCAGAUGGUGCAUUCAAAUUGACAAGGCAUUCAUCAUUCUCAUGUAGAGAUGGAAGAUCAGUACCUUUGUCAUUACCUCUUAUGAUCAACUUAGAUGAUGUAGCCACUCUCGGGGGUGAUGUGUCACAUGGUGGAGGUGAUGUAGUCCUGACAACAACGGAUGUGGUUGUCAUAGUAUGCCUAGUAGUUGAAGGAACAAUCAUAUCAACUCUUGGAAUGUGCACCGUGCGCUUGUUCUCCUCGUGGCCAACACGUCGUUUUAUUUCCUGUUCAGCUUUGCAAGCAAGAUGAAACAAAUGGUCCAUAGGAUAACACUCUUCAUGAAUUAGUAUCUCUUGAAUAUCACGGUUUAAUCCACCCCAAAAUCUAUCCAUAAAAUCAUCUUCACUUUCUUCUAAAGAGGAAUGCAACAAGGUAGUUUGUAAAUCAUCAUAAUAUUUUGUUACAGUUUCACUACCUUGUUUUAAGUGUUGCAACUUCUUAAUCAUGUCACGAGUAUAAUAAGCAGGGACGAAAGUAUGUCGCAUGGCAAGUUUCAAAUCAUCCCAAGUAGUAGGUAUAUAAUCAGGGUGUAACGGACAAUAUUCACUCCACCAAACCAAAGCAUAACCAGUGAAAGAACCAACCGCAACCUUAACCUUUUUAUGUUCAUCGAAAUUAUGGGAAGCAAAUAUAUUUUUUAUGUUGAACUCCCAUUCAAUAUAUAAAGCAGGUUUAAAACGGCCAUUAAAUGGUGGUAUAGAUACAUUAACCUGAUCAUGUGCAUUUGGAUGUUUGUGCACCUUUCGUGACGGUUGUGGUAUUUGCAAAGGUGGUGGCACGUCUCCUGUGAUCGACAAAGCUCAUGAAUUGACUCUGGAUCCUGUAAUGAUUAGUAGAACAAGAAACAAAACCCAAAAAUAAUGUUCCUAUAACUACUAGGAUGUGGUGGUAAAACGCUCACAGUAAAGCAAAUAUCAAUGUCUUACAAGUUCUUACCAUGCAGCAGGCGGUGAUCGGCAACCAGCGGUGUCAAGUAACUCCGAAUAUUGAGUAAAGCGAUUGCCAGGGGAGCGUACGUAUACACGGUGUAGAAAUAUGUGGAGCUGGGUUGGCUAUAUAUGGUAGCAAAAGAUUAGCAAUAAUCAAUUCAAAGAUGCAAUGUUGAAUAAACGCUCAACGACGGUACUGUGCUGGUCUUAGGCUAGACCGGACUAGAGACGCGAGCCUAGAACACUAAUAAGGUCACGGCGUAGCACAACUAGCAUCAAUGAAGGAUACUAAGUAGCUCUUGACAGCAAGAUAUAAGUGAAGAUGACAACGGCAGUGAAGAUAAUGAUGAAAAACAACUGCCAAGCAGGAUAUACAACAACUCUCUCUCCAACUUUCCUCUUGAAAAGUUUGAGACAAUUUUCUAAUAAAUUCUUUCAAAGAAUGCUACUAACUCAAGCUUUCCAAUGCAAAAAGAAUCACUCAAUUCCGAGUUGAUAUGAGGAGUCAAAGAAUUCUAAAACUGGCCUGAAAAAUUGGAACAAGCUGUGUUCACGAACUUCGGAGGGCAAAAAGACCUAUUUAGAAGCCGAUUUUGAGGUGUCAAAUAUUGAACUAGCUUCUGCAACUAUUUAGAUGCGGCUCGUCGCUAUCUUCAAUUUGAGUACUCACGGAGCCAAAACGGACUUCGUAUGAGGAAGAUACACCUGUUUUACUGAACAGUGCGCAAAACAGAUUCCAAUCCGAAUUCAGGUACGAGAUUGAUUCUAGAUAGAUCCAAUUUUUUUUCUUCUCUCUUUUUUUUCUCACGCUUUUUUUUCUUUUUCUUCUCCCUCUUUUUUUUUCUUUCCUUUUUUCGCUCUUUUUUUCUUUAUCUUCUUUUUCUCCCUCUUUCCAAGACAAACUAGAUAAGAUGCAGAUUCGAUCAGGCGAAGAUGUGAAUGACCUCAACUAUGAUUAUGACAAUGAACAGUGUGUAGCACGUGGUGGAAAUUAAUAGAUGGGAUGGUGGACAGCGGAAGGGAUAAUGAUGCAGCGGCGGCGUGACUAAUGUGAACAGAACUCGAAACUCUAAAGGAACUAGACACUAAGACCAGCAACUGACACGACGAUGCAACCGAUAAUUCAACUAUGC